AGUGAACGCUGGCGGUAGGCCUAACACAUACAAGUCGAACGGCAGCACAGUAAGAGCUUGCUCUUACGGGUGGCGAGUGGCGGACGGGUGAGGAAUACAUCGGAAUCUACUUUUUCGUGGGGGAUAACGUAGGGAAACUUACGCUAAUACCGCAUACGACCUACGGGUGAAAGCAGGGGAUCUUCGGACCUUGCGCGAUUGAAUGAGCCGAUGUCGGAUUAGCUAGUUGGCGGGGUAAAGGCCCUCCAAGGCGACGAUCCGUAGCUGGUCUGAGAGGAUGAUCAGCCACACUGGAACUGAGACACGGUCCAGACUCCUACGGGAGGCAGCAGUGGGGAAUAUUGGACAAUGGGCGCAAGCCUGAUCCAGCCAUACCGCGUGGGUGAAGAAGGCCUUCGGGUUGUAAAGCCCUUUUGUUGGGAAAGAAAAGCAGCAGGUUAAUACCCCGCUGUUCUGACGGUACCCAAAGAAUAAGCACCGGCUAACUUCGUG
rnacentral:rRNA from 1 species